GAUGAACGCUGGCGGCGUGCUUAACACAUGCAAGUCGAACGGAAAGGCCCAAGCUUGCUUGGGUACUCGAGUGGCGAACGGGUGAGUAACACGUGGGUGAUCUGCCCUGCACUUCGGGAUAAGCCUGGGAAACUGGGUCUAAUACCGGAUAGGACGAUGGUUUGGAUGCCAUUGUGGAAAGUUUUUUCGGUGUGGGAUGAGCUCGCGGCCUAUCAGCUUGUUGGUGGGGUAAUGGCCUACCAAGGCGUCGACGGGUAGCCGGCCUGAGAGGGUGUACGGCCGCAUUGGGACUGAGAUACGGCCCAGACUCCUACGGGAGGCAGCAGUGGGGAAUAUUGCACAAUGGGCGCAAGCCUGAUGCAGCGACGCCGCGUGGGGGAUGACGGCCUUCGGGUUGUAAACUCCUUUCGCUAGGGACGAAGCGUUUUUGUGACGGUACCUGGAGAAGAAGCACCGGCUAACUACGUG
rnacentral:rRNA from 1 species